UGACCUCGGAUCAGGUAGGGAAUACCGGCUGAACUUUAAACCAUAUCAAUAAGCGGA
rnacentral:rRNA from 1 species